AACGCACAUUGCGCCCGCCAGUAUUCUGGCGGGCAUGCCUGUUCGAGCGUCAUUUCAACCAUCAAGCCCCAGGCUUGUGUUGGGGACCUGCGGCUGCCGCAGGCCCUGAAAACCAGUGGCGGGCUCGCUGUCACACCGGGCGUAGUAGAUUUUAUCUCGCUCAGGGCGUGCUGCGGGUUCCGGCCGUUAAAAAGCCUUUUUUACCCAAGGUUGACCUCGGAUCAGGUAGGAAUACCCGCUGAACUUAA
rnacentral:misc_RNA from 1 species